rnacentral:rRNA from 1 species
CCUGGCUUAGGACGAACGCUGGCGGCGUGCCUAAUACAUGCAAGUCGAACGGUCUUUCUAUGGAAGCUUGCUUCCACUGAGAAGAUAGUGGCGAACGGGUGAGUAACACGUGGGUAACCUGCCCAUAAGAGGGGGAUAACAUCCGGAAACGGGUGCUAAUACCGCAUAGUUUUCUUGAUCGCAUGAUCGGGAAAGGAAAGACGGCCUUUGUGCUGUCGCUUAUGGAUGGACCCGCGGCGUAUUAGUUAGUUGGUGAGGUAACGGCUCACCAAGACGAUGAUACGUAGCCGACCUGAGAGGGUGAUCGGCCACAUUGGGACUGAGACACGGCCCAAACUCCUACGGGAGGCAGCAGUAGGGAAUCUUCCGCAAUGGACGAAAGUCUGACGGAGCAACGCCGCGUGAGUGAAGAAAGGUUUUCGGAUCGUAAAACUCUGUUGUCAGAGAAGAACAAGUUGGAGAGUAACUGCUCCAGCCUUGGCGGUAUCUGACCAGAAAGCCACGGCUAACUACGUGCCAGCCGCUGC